UCCGUAGGUGAUCCUGCGGAGGGAUCAUUA
rnacentral:rRNA from 1 species